UACUCUCAACCCCCUCUCACUUUGUUGAUGAGGUGGAUUGGAUGUGGAGGUUGCUGGAUGCUUCAUUGCAAUCAGCUCUUCUGAAAUGUAUUAGCAGUAGUACCGUUGACUGGGCUUGCUAGACUUGUGAUAAUAUCUAUGGUCUUCUUGCUGGGUAGAGGUCGGGUUUUGAAGGGUUGCUUUCACGAGCUCUCUUUGCCUUCUCUUGAAAGAGAGAUAACUAUGCGACUCUAUCAGAUGGCUACAGCUUCUAAUCGUCUGUAACAAGACAACUUAACUGACU
rnacentral:misc_RNA from 1 species